rnacentral:rRNA from 1 species
AGCGAACGCUGGCGGCAGGCCUAACACAUGCAAGUCGAACGAAGUCUUCGGACUUAGUGGCGGACGUGUGAGUAACACGUGGGAACGUGCCUUUAGGUUCGGAAUAACUCAGGGAAACUUGUGCUAAUACCGCAUGUGCCCUUCGGCGGCAAGAUUUAUCGCCUUUACAGCGGCCCGCGUCUGAAUAGCUAGUUGGUGAGGUAAAGGCUCACCAAGGCUACGAUCAGUAGCUGGUCUGAGAGGAUGACCAGCCACAUUGUGACUGGGACACGGCCCAAACUCCGACGGGAGGCAGCAGUGGGGAAUCUUGCGCAAUGGGCGAAAGCCUGACGCAGCCAUGCCGCGUGGAUGAUGAAGUUCUUAGGAUUGUAAAAUCCUUUCACCGGUGAAGAUAAUGACUGUAGCCGUAGAAGAAGCCCCGGCUAACUUCGUGCCAGCCGCCGCGGUAAGAC